rnacentral:rRNA from 1 species
CCUACGGGCGGCUGCAGUGGGGAAUAUUGGACAAUGGGGGGAACCCUGAUCCAGCCAUGCCGCGUGUGUGAAGAAGGCCCUCGGGUUGUAAAGCACUUUCAGUGAGGAAGAACGCCUGGUGGUUAAUACCCAUCAGGAAAGACAUCACUCACAGAAGAAGCACCGGCUAACUCCGUGCCAGCAGCCGCGGUAAUACGGAGGGUGCGAGCGUUAAUCGGAAUUACUGGGCGUAAAGCGCGCGUAGGUGGCUUGAUAAGCCGGUUGUGAAAGCCCCGGGCUCAACCUGGGAACGGCAUCCGGAACUGUCAAGCUAGAGUGCAGGAGAGGAAGGUAGAAUUCCCGGUGUAGCGGUGAAAUGCGUAGAGAUCGGGAGGAAUACCAGUGGCGAAGGCGGCCUUCUGGACUGACACUGACACUGAGGUGCGAAAGCGUGGGUAGCAAACAGGAUUAGAGACCCUGGUAGUC